CCUGCUUGGGGAACAUACUUCUUUAUAUGCCCAUAUGAACAAGAGCAACUAUGGAAUGUAAAGAAGUAUGUAUCCCAGGUCAGGAACA
rnacentral:pre_miRNA from 10 species